CAACCCUCAAGCUCUGCUUGGCCUUGGGCGCCACCGGCAACGGUGGGCCUCAAACCCAGUGGCGGUGCCGUCUGGCUCUAAGCGUAGUAAUUCUCCUCGCUAUAGGUCCCGGCGGAUGCUUGCCAGCAACCCCCAACUUCUUAAGG
rnacentral:misc_RNA from 1 species